UACGUAGGGCGCAAGCGUUGUCCGGAAUUAUUGGGCGUAAAGAGCUCGUAGGCGGUCUGUCGCGUCUGGUGUGAAAUCCCAUGGCUCAACUGUGGGCUUGCAUCGGGUACGGGCAGACUAGAGUGCUGUAGGGGAGACUGGAAUUCCUGGUGUAGCGGUGGAAUGCGCAGAUAUCAGGAGGAACACCGGUGGCGAAGGCGGGUCUCUGGGCAGUAACUGACGCUGAGGAGCGAAAGCGUGGGGAGCGAACAGG
rnacentral:rRNA from 1 species